rnacentral:ncRNA from 1 species
CAACACAAUACGGUGUUUUAUGCGGCACACCAGCCGCGUAGCAGCUAGAACCUGCAUCGGACUUCUUUAAGGAGAAAACAAAAUG